rnacentral:rRNA from 1 species
GACGAACGCUGGCGGCGUGCCUAAUACAUGCAAGUAGAACGCUGAAGGAGGAGCUUGCUUCUCUGGAUGAGUUGCGAACGGGUGAGUAACGCGUAGGUAACCUGCCUUGUAGCGGGGGAUAACUAUUGGAAACGAUAGCUAAUACCGCAUAAUAGUAGAUGUUGCAUGACAUUUGCUUAAAAGGUGCAAUUGCAUCACUACCAGAUGGACCUGCGUUGUAUUAGCUAGUUGGUGGGGUAACGGCUCACCAAGGCGACGAUACAUAGCCGACCUGGGAGGGGGAUCGGCCACACUGGGACUGAGACAAGGCCCAGACGCCUACGGGAGGCAGCAGGAGGGAAUCUUCGGGAAGGGACGGAAGGCUGACCGAGCAACGCCGCGGGAGGGAAGAAGGGUUUCGGAUCGUAAAGCUCGGUUGUAAGGGAAGAACGAGUGUGAGAGUGGAAAGUUCACACUGUGACGGUAUCUUACCAGAAAGGGACGGCUAACUACGUG